rnacentral:rRNA from 1 species
GACGAACGCUGGCGGCGUGCUUAACACAUGCAAGUCGAACGGAAAGGCCCUGCUUUUGUGGGCUGCUCGAGUGGCGACCGGGUGAGUAACCCGUGAGUAACCUGCCCUUGACUUUGGGAUAACUUCAGGCAACUGGGGCUAAUACCGGCUAGGAGCUCCUGCUGCAUGGUGGGGGUUCGUCAGUUUCGCCGGUUGGGGUUGGACUCGCGGCUUAUCAGCUUGUUGGUGGGGUAGUGGCUUACCAAGGCUUUGACGGGUAGCCGGCCUGAGCGGGUGACCGGCCACAGUGGGACUGAGAUACGGCCCAGACUCCUACGGGAGGCAGCAGUGGGGAAGAGUGCACAAUGGGCGGAAGCCUGAUGCAGCAACGCCGCGUGCGGGAUGACGGCCAGCGGGUUGUAAACCGCUUUCGCCUGUGACGAAGCGUGAGUGACGGUAAUGGGUAAAGAAGCACCGGCUAACUACGUG